UGCUAUGCUGAGAUCUAAUGCAGCUAUACAAGAGACUGGUACCUCACUUCAGUUUGGCAGUAGUAUCAGGGCCAUGUAACUUCUAAAAAUGUGAAGGUCCAGAGUUUCUGUUAUUUUCCCUUUAAUCACAUUUUCUUCACCUAUGUUUUGACCUGCAUCAUUGAAUACUAAUCUGUAAAGCAGAACGAACUAUAUUUUGAUGGAAAUUUUUAUUCUCUUGCAGCUUCUCAUAGUCCAAAGAACACACACCUUCUGACUUCUGUUUCCCCUGCACCAAUUGCAAAGAAGGAUUAGAUGAUUAGUCUUGAAAUAGUGGAAAGAUGACAUGACUAAGCUAAGAUUCGUGACAGUCUUAUAGAGCUGGAUACUGUUGUUUGAACCAGAGACCUUCAACCAGUGCUAUCCCAGAAUGUCAUUAUGAUAAUGCAACGAGUGGCCAAGUUUGUAACAGCUCCAUGUUUGUUGUCAUCUUGGUAUAAAGUUUAGCAUCCUCAGUUUUACUAUCUUCUGUUCUAGAAGAUAAUUCUUUAGAGACUUCAACUUGCAACAUCAAUAGUGCCACAUUCAAAACUGAUUAGCUGGGAUAUGAUUAGAGGGUAAAUAUAAGAGUAUAAUUCCACUGUUAAGGAAAUGGAGUGACCCUAAUGGUCAUAAUCCAGGAUAACUGCUGCGAAAUAUUGUCGGAUGCCUUUUAGUUCCUAGAGGAAAAGUGCUAAGCGCCAGAAUGACUUAAAAGCUCUUAAAUUCUCGGACAGUCGUUUGAUCCUUCGAACUAUUAACUGUCAAGAACUUCCAUGUUUCUAAAAGCAGUUUGAGCUUCUUUAUCUUAGCAUUUGUGUGUAGUCAUCGCCAGGAUUUGCAGUAUGAAGACAGCAGAUGGGUCUAAAAGAAUAGACUUGUCAAUAUAAGAGUGUUGUUCCUCAUUUGCUACUUUUUGUCGGGCACAGGUCAUGAAAUGAUAUUCCCAUUGAUUCCAAAAUGCUAUUGAUAAAUGCAGUCACUGCAUAAGGUUCUUGAU
rnacentral:lncRNA from 1 species